UACGUAGGCAGCGAGCGUUGUUCGGAAUUACUGGGCGUAAAGAGUGUGUAGGCGGUGCUCUAAGUUCGGUGUGAAAUCUCCCGGCUUAACUGGGAGGGUGCGCCGGAAACUGGAGUGCUCGAGCGUGGGAGAGGAAAGCGGAAUUCCUGGUGUAGCGGUGAAAUGCGUAGAUAUCAGGAGGAACACCCGUGGCGAAAGCGGCUCUCUGGGACGGUACUGACGCUGAGACGCGAAAGCGUGGGGAGCAAACAGG
rnacentral:rRNA from 1 species